AACUCUUAGCGGUGGAUCACUCGGCUCGUGCAUCGAUGAAGAACGCAGCUAGCUGUGAGAACUAAUGUGAAUUGCAGGACACAUUGAUCAUCGACACUUAGAACACACCUUGCGGCCCCGGGUUCUUCCCGGGGCUACACCUGUCUGAGGGUCG
rnacentral:rRNA from 1 species